UUAUCUUGACUCUUUUUUUAGUCGAAACUGGUUGUAUUUGUGUCAGUAGUAGUAAAGGUUGGUCCUGUCGCUUUAAACCAUCAGCGGGCGCUCCUGCAAUGGCUGUAUACGCACACAGCAAGUUUAAACUCAGCACUUUAAAACAAUUCUCGAUUAAUUAUGUAAAAGAAAGACUGUUCCCCGUCACCGAAAGCAGCUCUCCACUUCACCGUCUCCUCCUCUCUGAGUCUGACUGUCGGUGAAUAGUGAAACUGCUGAUAAGAACCUGCUGUGAGUUUCUCUUUCAUCCGAGUGUGUGCUGCCGGUGUGAGGGCUCCAUCUACUGAACUCCGCUGGGUUGGGGUGCUGACAUCCACUGAGAGGUCUCUCCAGUCAAUCACAGAGGCAGCAGACAGACAGGCAGGCUGGCUGGAGAGGAUAGAUCCUGCUUUGACAGGGGAGUGGUGCAACCGCGCUGGAGCACGACUGUGCACUGACAGAGGGAGUCACACUCAACUGGUUGACACAACGGGUUCACUCUGACUUUUUUCUGUCUUCUACUUCCUCUCAUGUGAGCUCUCUCGCUUUCUCAUUUAAUCACUCCCCCUUAUUCUUUUUUUUUCUCGAGAAAGACACAGUUGCUCUGCCCUAUCAGAUCCCUUUCACUUUUCUUGUCAGUGCACCAGAAAAAGUUUUGGGGAUGUUGGUGUAUUGGAGGGGUAGGGGGGGUUGCAGAGGUUGUGUGUAUCUGUGUGUGUGUAGAGAGACAGAAAAAGAGAGAAAGACAGAUUGCGUGGUCCCUUAGGUCUGUCAGACAAUGGCAGGAAGUACUGAUUUAGGAUGCACAAAGUACAGAGGA